rnacentral:rRNA from 1 species
UAAUGGACGACGUCUGACGGAGCAACGCCGCGUGAGUGAUGAAGGUUUUCGGAUCGUAAAACUCUGUUGUUAGGGAAGAACAAGUACCGUUCGAAUAGGGCGGUACCUUGACGGUACCUAACCAGAAAGCCACGGCUAACUACGUGCCAGCAGCCGCGGUAAUACGUAGGUGGCAAGCGUUGUCCGGAAUUAUUGGGCGUAAAGCGCGCGCAGGCGGUUUCUUAAGUCUGAUGUGAAAGCCCCCGGCUCAACCGGGGAGGGUCAUUGGAAACUGGGGAACUUGAGUGCAGAAGAGGAGAGUGGAAUUCCACGUGUAGCGGUGAAAUGCGUAGAGAUGUGGAGGAACACCAGUGGCGAAGGCGACUCUCUGGUCUGUAACUGACGCUGAGGCGCGAAAGCGUGGGGAGCGAACAGGAUUAGAUACCCUGGUAGUCCACGCCGUAAACGAUGAGUGCUAAGUGUUAGAGGGUUUCCGCCCUUUAGUGCUGCAGCAAACGCAUUAAGCACUCCGCCUGGGGAGUACGGUCGCAAGACUGAAACUCAGAA